GGUCCAACGCGGAGGUGGAACGCGUAUUUAGCCAGCUUAACUUGGUAAAGUCCAAGUUAAGGAACUUAAUGAGCCUGAACCCAAUAAACAGUAUUCUUAGCAUAAGAUAUGGUUUGCGAAGACUGGGCAAAUGCUGCUAUGAAUACAAAGUUCCUCCAAAUUAUCUUCGCAUGAUAGGUACUAAUAGGUCGUACGAUUCUGAAAGCGAUGCUAGUCGCGACGAAUUAGAUAGCAUGCUGAAAAUCUUGUAAAUUAAAAAAAAAAAAAAACAUGAAAA